CGUAGGGUGCGAGCGUUGUCCGGAAUUACUGGGCGUAAAGAGCUCGUAGGUGGUUUGUCGCGUCGUCUGUGAAAUUCCGGGGCUUAACUUCGGGCGUGCAGGCGAUACGGGCAAUACUUGAGUGCUGUAGGGGAGACUGGAAUUCCUGGUGUAGCGGUGGAAUGCGCAGAUAUCAGGAGGAACACCGAUGGCGAAGGCAGGUCUCUGGGCAGUAACUGACGCUGAGGAGCGAAAGCAUGGGUAGCGAGCAGGAUUA
rnacentral:rRNA from 1 species